rnacentral:piRNA from 1 species
UGUGAAGGUGUCUCUUGGGC